rnacentral:rRNA from 1 species
UACGGGGGGAGCAAGCGUUGUUCGGAUUUACUGGGCGUAAAGGGCGCGUAGGCGGCCAGCACAAGUCAGUUGUGAAAUCUCCGAGCUUAACUCGGAAAGGUCAACUGAUACUGUGCGGCUAGAGUGCAGAAGGGGCAACUGGAAUUCCCGGUGUAGCGGUGAAAUGCGCAGAUAUCGGGAGGAACACCAGUGGCGAAGGCGGUGCUCUGGG